rnacentral:rRNA from 1 species
UGAACGCUAGCUACAGGCUUAACACAUGCAAGUCGAGGGGCAUCAGGAAGAAAGCUUGCUUUCUUUGCUGGCGACCGGCGCACGGGUGAGUAACACGUAUCCAACCUGCCCUUUACUCGGGGAUAGCCUUUCGAAAGAAAGAUUAAUACCCGAUGGCAUAAUGAUUCCGCAUGGUUUCAUUAUUAAAGGAUUCCGGUAAAGGAUGGGGAUGCGUUCCAUUAGGUUGUUGGUGAGGUAACGGCUCACCAAGCCUUCGAUGGAUAGGGGUUCUGAGAGGAAGGUCCCCCACAUUGGAACUGAGACACGGUCCAAACUCCUACGGGAGGCAGCAGUGAGGAAUAUUGGUCAAUGGGCGCUAGCCUGAACCAGCCAAGUAGCGUGAAGGAUGAAGGCUCUAUGGGUCGUAAACUUCUUUUAUAUAAGAAUAAAGUGCAGUAUGUAUACUGUUUUGUAUGUAUUAUAUGAAUAAGGAUCGGCUAACUCCGUGCCAGCAGCCGCGGUAAUACGGAGGAUCCGAGCGUUAUCCGGAUUUAUUGGGUUUAAAGGGAGCGUAGGUGGACUGGUAAGUCAGUUGUGAAAGUUUGCGGCUCAACCGUAAAAUUGCAGUUGAUACUGUCAGUCUUGAGUACAGUAGAGGUGGGCGGAAUUCGUGGUGUAGCGGUGAAAUGCUUAGAUAUCACGAAGAACUCCGAUUGCGAAGGCAGCUCACUGGACUGCAACUGACACUGAUGCUCGAAAGUGUGGGUAUCAAACAGGAUUAGAUACCCUGGUAGUCCACACAGUAAACGAUGAAUACUCGCUGUUUGCGAUAUACAGUAAGCGGCCAAGCGAAAGCAUUAAGUAUUCCACCUGGGGAGUACGCCGGCAACGGUGAAACUCAAAGGAAUUGACGGGGGCCCGCACAAGCGGAGGAACAUGUGGUUUAAUUCGAUGAUACGCGAGGAACCUUACCCGGGCUUAAAUUGCAGUGGAAUGAUGUGGAAACAUGUCAGUGAGCAAUCACCGCUGUGAAGGUGCUGCAUGGUUGUCGUCAGCUCGUGCCGUGAGGUGUCGGCUUAAGUGCCAUAACGAGCGCAACCCUUAUCUUUAGUUACUAACAGGUCAUGCUGAGGACUCUAGAGAGACUGCCGUCGUAAGAUGUGAGGAAGGUGGGGAUGACGUCAAAUCAGCACGGCCCUUACGUCCGGGGCUACACACGUGUUACAAUGGGGGGUACAGAAGGCAGCUAGCGGGUGACCGUAUGCUAAUCCCAAAAGCCUCUCUCAGUUCGGAUCGAAGUCUGCAACCCGACUUCGUGAAGCUGGAUUCGCUAGUAAUCGUGCAUCAGCCACGGCGCGGUGAAUACGUUCCCGGGCCUUGUACACACCGCCCGUCAAGCCAUGGGAGCCGGGGGUACCUGAAGUACGUAACCGCAAGGAUCGUCCUAGGGUAAAACUGGUGACUGGGGCUAA